rnacentral:rRNA from 1 species
GAUGAACGCUGGCGGCGUGUCUUAGGCAUGCAAGUCGAACGCUCCACCUUCGGGUGGGGAGUGGCAAACGGGUGCGUAACACAUUGGUAACCUACCCUGAAGUUCGGAAUAAUUCCGCGAAAGCGGGACUAAUACCGGAUGUGUCCCUGUACCAUUGGGUGCAGGGGUAAAGAUUUAUCGCUUCAGGAGGGGCCUAUGGUCCAUCAGCUUGUUGGUGAGGUAAUGGCUCACCAAGGCGACGACGGAUAGCGGGUGUGAGAGCACGACCCGCCUCACUGGGACUGAGACACUGCCCAGACUCCUACGGGAGGCUGCAGUCAAGAAUCUUCCCCAAUGCGCGAAAGCGUGAGGGAGCGACGCCGCGUGCAGGAGGAAGCCCUUCGGGGUGUAAACUGCUUUUCUCUGGGAAAAACUCUGAUGGUACCAGAGGAAUAAGGGGCUGCUAACUUCGUG